AAACUAAAACUAGCAUCAACUAGCGAUUUCUAGCUUAAAUGAUCUGUUUGGAUAAAUUAGCGCCAUUAAAAGUAUAACGAAUCGGCUUUUAGAGCUCCUGUUUACGAAUAUUACACAAUUAGGUCCAUAAGUAAAACUAAAACAGUUCGAUAUUAAAUAAAAGUUUAAUACUCUUGAAAAGUCCUUUAGUUUUCAUCUGUUCUCUGUGGAUGUACGGACCUUUACUCACGAAAGUAUGCCCACAUUUUUAAAAACUUUUAUAAGGCACACGUGGUGAAUCUUUUUUUUGACUUUUCAAAAUUAUUUUAGGCUACUUUCAUUUUCCUGCAGUACUAGCCUAUGGACUUUCCAGCCACAGUAUGGGGCAAACAUUAAUAGGCUUAAUUUUCAUUUAAAUAGUUUUGCACUUUUUUUUUUUAUAUAAACUUUACCCAGAAAAUUAAAAAAAUCAAAUGAGCAUGUAGACACUGGAGUGUGGCGCUAAUCCUGCUUGUAGUAGUGCACACAUUUGACCAGCAGAGGGAGCCAUUUCACCUCCAGACCAGCUUCCAGCCAAGCAGCUGCUGCAGCAGGAUGUCUUCUUCUGCUUCCUGUUUGGAAAGAAGAGAGAUACCACCAGUGCUCCAAAGAUCAUUGAUUGAUAUCCCAAAUCAAUUGAAAAGCCAUUAGUAUUUUGUUAACCUUUGAGAUCUUCCUUCUUCACCUACAGUUUUAGUUUUAUUACCAACAAUGAGACUAUUGAUGAGGGAAAAUAAGUAAUUAGCCAUUUAUUUCUCAGCGUGGUUCACAAAACCAGACUAGGAAAUAUGGUUAAACUUUACAUAGAAAUUGUGGGCUUUGACUUAAAUGCUGGAGGGCCAAAUCCAACAGAUACCUGAGGUCAUUUGUUCCAUCAGUUGUAGUUAAAAGAAAAAAAAAAAAACAAGAUUAUGAGGCUUAUUUAUUUUUAUUUUUGGAGAGGUCAGUUUCACAGCACUUUUAAUGAAUCAUAUUUUUAGAUUUUUUAGGGAAUCACAAUUUUACCUCAAGAGGAAUUUACAGCAUUUACAACAAGACACAUUAUAAAACUUGUCCCCCUUGAAGAAAUCUAAGGAAAAGCUCCCAUGACCAUUGCAGCAAGAGAGGAAACCUCACUCAGACAAACUGGAGAAAGACUUAAAAGCUGGCCUGGAGAUGAGCCUCUGGAAAUAACAACCACCUUUUGGUAAUUCUUCAAGAAGACUCCGGCCUUUUCUUGGUUCAUCACAUCCUCCUGUAGCUCCUCUUCAUCUGUCUCAGCAUUCCUCUGAUGUUGUGGGCCUGGACAUGAACUCUGCUCCAUUCUUCCCAGUGACAGUCUACUCCCUCACAGAGAGAAUCUUCUGAUUUAUUCUCCUCUGCUGAGCUCAGCAGGGCCAGACUAGGACCAAACUAACCCGGCGUUUUUGGCCCACAUCUGCGUGUCCAGCCUUACCAUCACCUCCAGGAACACUGGGGGUCCCAACAGAACUCUGGCCC